AUGGAUGGCCACACCCACAUAGCGAUGGAGUGGAAGAACCAGAACCUAGGUCCAAAGAUCAACCGCGGCGACGGCAGAGCGAUUGGGGGCGGUCGACGACGAACAAGCCUAGGAGGAGGUUUAUCACCAGGAGCUCAUGAAAGAUUUUCCAUGCAAGAUGACUCGUCGAAGAGGAUGUCUUCAUGUCCUGCCAAUUCAGCUCCUUGUUUGCGCGAUGAAUCCACCGCUGGAGCCCCUCUCUUCCAGAUAGCACAUGAUCCUGGAGUUGACAAAACCAAGCCUAAGAGGAACUUGUUUGACAAAGCCAACAACCUUCUCACCAAUUUGCUUUCUAGCGGCAACCUCAAGAAUAUGCCGGUUUCCGAAGGAAACGAAGUAAUCGGGAGUGGUGGUAGCAAGCAGGAGAAGAAACCAUCACAAAUUUGCCGCCAUUUUUUGCACCUAUGGAUCAAAUGCUUCGAGAUGGCUGGGAAAGGAGCCUCCCCUCUGCGUGCUCCUGCUGUGCAACGACGUGGCCCUACUAUUUUGCGUCAGGAGAUGAGAGUACGUGUGGCUGCUCCGUGCUCCUCCGACCAUGCCCUGCUCAUGCCGCCGCCAUGGAGCCUGUCAAGGUAA
rnacentral:rRNA from 1 species